rnacentral:rRNA from 1 species
ACGGCAUACGAGAUGUGACUGGAGUUCAGACGUGUGCUCUUCCGAUCUCUCCACCCAGACUCAUCCAUCAUUGCACUUAUAGAGAGUUUCUGUUGGUGCUGAUAUUAACGAUAAAUAAGGUGAAAAACCUUAUCGCCGAAAGUCUAAGGGUUCCUGAUCAACGUUAAUCGGAUCAGGGUUAGCCCGGACCUUAGUCCAACCCGAAAGGGGUAGACGAUGGAGAGCAGGUUAAUAUUCCUGCGCCCGCUAUGCAUUAAAAGUGACGGAUAAUGCUAGCCACCUAAGCUGACGGAUUAGCAGAGUGGAACCUUCGGGUGAAGCGUAGUGGUGAAAGUUGUUCCAAGAAAAGCGAGCAUAGCGGCCGGUACCGCAAACCGACACAGGUAGACGGGAUGAGUAUUCUAAGGCGCUCGGGUGAGCCGUGGAGAAGGAACUAGGCAAAUUAAUGCUGUAACUUCGGGAUAAAGCAUACCACAGCGAUGUGGUCUCAGUAAAAUGGUUCAACCAACUGUUUAACAAAAACAUAGGGCCCUGCAAAAUCGAAAGAUGACGUAUAGAGCCUGAUACCUGCCCGGUGCUGGAAGGUUAAGGAAGGAUGUUCGGACGUAAGUCCAAAGCUUCUGACUGAAGCCCCAGUAAACGGCGGCCGUAACUAUAACGGUCCUAAGGUAGCGAAAUUCCUUGUCGGGUAAGUUCCGACCUGCACGAAUGGUCUAAUGAGUUGAACGCUGUCUCCUCCACGAGCCCGGUGAAAUUGUAGUAUCGGUGAAGAUGCCGGUUACCCGCCACGGGACGGAAAGACCCCGUGAACCUUCACUACAGCUUUGCAUUGAUUUUGAAUUACGGAUGUGUAGCAUAGUUGGGACGCUACGAAGCCUUGCCGCCAGGUAGGGUGGAGCGGUCGUUGAAAUACCAACCUUCUUUGAUUUAGAAUCUAAUCCAGAAAUGGAGACAUUGCAUGGUGGGUAGUUUGACUGGGGUGGUCGCCUCCUAAAGUGUAACGGAGGCUUGCAAAGGUUCCCUCAGUACGGUUGGUAAUCGUACGCAGAGCGCAUUAGUAAAAGGGAGCUUGACUGUGAGACAAACAGGUCGAGCAGGGACGAAAGUCGGCUAAAGUGAUCCGGCGGUUCUGUAUGGAAGGGCCGUCGCUCAAAGGAUAAAAGGUACUCCGGGGAUAACAGGCUGAUCUCCCCCAAGAGCUCAUAUCGACGGGGAGGUUUGGCACCUCGAUGUCGGUUCGUCACAUCCUGGGGCUGGAGAAGGUCCCAAGGGUUCGGCUGUUCGCCGAUUAAAGUGGCACGUGAACUGGGUUCAGAACGUCGCAAGACAGUUCGGUCCCUAUCUGUGGUGGGCGUUAGUAAAUUGCGAGAGCAUGACCUUAGUACGAGAGGACCGGGUCGUACGUACCGCUGGUGUAUCAGUUGUGCCGCCAGGUGCAGUGCUGAGUAGCUAAGUACGGACAGGAUAAACGCUGAAAGCAUCUAAGCGUGAAACCUUUCUCAAGAUGAGUUUACUUUUAAGGGCCGUCAGAGACUAUGACGUUGAUAGGCUACAGGUGUAAAGGUGGUAACAUCAAAGCCGAGUAGUACUAAUUGCCCGUAAGCUC